rnacentral:rRNA from 1 species
GUCUACGGCCUUACCACCCUUUAUGUCCCCAGUCUCGUCUGAUCUUAAAAGCUAAGCAGAGUCGGGCCUGGUUAGUACUUGGAUGGGAGAAAAGUGACAACUGCAGAAA